UAGCUGCAAAAAUACCUCUAGGUGUUCCGGACACUAUGUGCCUAUAGCUGGCUACAGGAUCACAGCAGCCAAAAGCCCUCCAGGAAGAAGUAUGGAAGCAGCUUUAUUGAGGUUGCCAGCAAGGAUUACGGCUUCUUUGACGCAUGAACGUUUUGGAAUUUAUGAGGAUUUUAAUGAGGAUUUUCUGAAAAAAAUAAAAAUUGUUAUGUUCUGGGCAUUCAUCUAUCCUCUCAUCAGCUUUUGAUCUACCACAUCUUGGGAUAUGAAUAAUGUUUCUGUUAAUGAGCCAGCCUCUGGGAACCAUCACUCUCCUAUUGCUUAAGAUUUCCAGUUGUUACCUUAGAAUUUUGCAACAUAAAUUUACAAUUAAUCCAAACCUGCUUUCAAAUAACACCAUAUCACCACGUAGCUAAACUUUACCUCAGAUACUGCUGAUAUUUACUGAUACAAUUGGCUCUGGGUCGAACUUGAAGCUGCAGCAGAAGAAGAUAUGGAAAAACUAAAAUCUUCCUCAAGCAAAUAUUAGAGUAAUUGUCAUUAUCUCACCAUGCUCUUUUCCUGGUUAUAAAUAUGCUAGAAAACAUUCUUACUGUAAUUUUAAUAAAGUAUUUCUCUAUGUUUU